GGGCGCACGGUGGAUGCCUUGGCACUAGAAGCCGAUGAAGGACGUGACUAACGACGAAAUGCUUUGGGGAGCUGUAAGUAAGCAUUGAUCCAGAGAUGUCCGAAUGGGGGAACCC
rnacentral:rRNA from 1 species